AGCAGCCGCGGUAAUUCCAGCUCCAAUAGCGUAUAUUAAAGUUGUUGCAGUUAAAAAGCUCGUAGUUGAAUUUCGGGGUCAGUAGGUUGGUCGUGCCACAGGUAUGAACUGGCCUCACUGAUUCCUCCUUCCUGAUGAACCGUAAUGCCAUUAAUUUGGUGUUGCGGGGAGACUGGACUGUUACUUUGAAAAAUUAGAGUGUUUAAAGCAGGCUAACGCUUGAAUACAUUAGCAUGGAAUAAUGAAAUAGGACGUUCGGUCUUAUUUUGUUGGUUUCUAAGAUUGACGUAAUGAUUAAUAGGGAUAGUUGGGGGCAUUAGUAUUCAAUUGUCAGAGGUGAAAUUCUUGGAUUUAUUGAAGACUAACUACUGCGAAAGCAUUUGCCAAGGAUGUUUUC
rnacentral:rRNA from 1 species